UACGUAGGGUGCGAGCGUUGUCCGGAAUUACUGGGCGUAAAGAGCUCGUAGGUGGUUUGUCGCGUUGUUCGUGAAAUCUCACGGCUUAACUGUGAGCGUGCGGGCGAUACGGGCAGACUGGAGUACUGCAGGGGAGACUGGAAUUCCUGGUGUAGCGGUGGAAUGCGCAGAUAUCAGGAGGAACACCGGUGGCGAAGACGGGUUGCUGGGCCGACACUGACGCUGAGUGCGCGAAAGCCAGGGGAGCAAACGGG
rnacentral:rRNA from 1 species